UGGCAGAGUUUGUAUUUGCAUGAUGCAACCAUGAGUCAUAUUCUAUUAUUGUCUAAUUCAAUUGUACCAUGUAGGUGAAUGUUCUGCAGGCUACUACUAUGACUGGGGCUCCAGCAGUCUGGAGCAGAGUCUCUGUCCUUCCGGUUUCUAUUGCCCAGCAGGCCCACACAAGCCCCUGGCCUGCACUGCAAGCACUUACAGCUCCGUCAUGGGCAAAAGUCACCAAGGAAAUUGUUAGCCAUGCCCAUUAUGCUUCUACCGUCAGGUAGCAGAACCUCUUCCAUGUCUGCCGGGGCAUUUCUGCCCCACGGGCACAUCACAGGGCACUCAGUUACCCUGUCCUCCAGGAACAGUGCAGGCACAGUCUGGGACAGCCAGUAAAGAUGAAUGUCUACCAUGUCCUGCAGGUGACAACAUGACAACAAAAAGAUUUAUUGCAUGUAUAGACUACCGUUCAAAGUUUGUGGGUCAGUAAUAUUUUCUGUCUAAAAUUCUCUGUAUGUGGAGAAAAAAACAUCUAAUUCAUGUAAUCUGUUUGUCUAGGCAUGUUUUGUGCUUGCCAUGGUCUUUCAGAGCCUACAGGGUGCUGCCAGGAUGGAUUUCACUGCCCUUUAGGGGCUACAAGCCCAAAUGGCACUUGAAAUCUGAUUGAAUCUACAGGCAACAACUUGCACCCGCCUGGCCAUUAUUGUCCAACUGGUAUUGGCUUUCCUCUCCCAUGCCCCGCUGGAACGUUCUCCAGCUCCCCAUGGUUGAGUGGGACAGAGCAGUGCCAGCCAUGUCCUCCUGGGUACUUCUGUGUGCAGACUGCUAUGGUCCAUCCAUCAGAAGCAGCUCUCUGUGAUGCUGGGUCAUUUUUGCCCUUUUGGCACUGCUGCAGCUGUACCUUUUCCUGUGGGCACACUGGGACAGGUUACCAGGGCUCAGUCAGAGGCUGCCUGUGUGCCCUGUCCUACCGGCCUCUACUGCAACCUGGAACAUCACAACCACAGGGGGGUUACUUCAUAGAAAGCUGUCUUCCAUGCCCAGCAGGGCAUCAUUGUGCCAGCGAGGGCCUGGAUGCUCCAACUGGACACUGUGCUGCAGGUUUUUACUGCCCCAUAGACUUCUCCUCCACCACCCCGCAUGCCUUCCUCUGCCCCAAAGUUGGUUUGGCCUCCUUCAUACCCUUCUAUCUCUUUUUAAUCUGA
rnacentral:lncRNA from 1 species